CAGGGAGACAACAAAAUGUUUAAUAUUAUUAUUUUGUCACCUUAGGUCGAUCGGUAUCUCACGUUCUUAAUUUAUUAAGAAUUUCAUUUCCUAAGUUUUUCUAGGUCACACCCAUUAUUUUCCUGGGCCAUUAGCUCAGGUGGUUAGAGCGCACCCCUGAUAAGGGUGAGGUCCCUGGUUCAAGUCCAGGAUGGCCCAUAUCUCUAUGUUGGGGGUAUAGCUCAGUUGGUAGAGCGCCUGCUUUGCAAGCAGGAUGUCAGCGGUUCGAGUCCGCUUACCUCCACUGAUUACCACCUCUUCCAUAAUUUGUAGAAAGGAAAAUUUUUGAGUUGUGAUCAUAAUUCUGAACGAAUCUAGCUUCCUAAUGAAACCAUUAAGAUGCUGGACUCAUUGAAUUAAUUUCAUUGUUUUCAGAGAACCUUGACAACUGCAUAGAUUAUUUUUAAAGACAAUAAGCAUCUUUAAUGAUGCAGAUUUAUUAUUUGUGCAAAUGCAUUAAUAACAAUUCUAUUAAGCUGAUGCUUCAAUUUUGAAGUUAUU
rnacentral:tRNA from 1 species